UACGAGGCUGUGCUGCAUCAGGGCU
rnacentral:miRNA from 1 species